rnacentral:lncRNA from 1 species
AAAAAAAGCAUCACAUUUCUUUCCUAAAGCCUUGUCAAAUGCAUUCCUCCCUCCAAUCUGUCCCUUCUCAGUAGCGUGACUCUGCCUGACACCUUGUAUAUGAGUACAUAUUGCCUGUUCCUCAAAUGCUUCUCAUAUUACCUAAGUUAUAAGUUCCUCUAAGACAUGAAUAUGACUUCUUAAAAGAAUGGAUUUGGGCAUGAGUUCAUAAACUCAUUCCCAAAUGAGUUAAGUAUCAAAGUUGGAGGACACAGUCUUCCACAAGACCACCCUCACUUCUGACACCACUGCAAUCUCCUAAACUUGCACAACCACCCUCAAGUUUGAUAAUUUGCUAGAAGGACUCACAGGACUUGCUAAAAAUUAUUAUGUUCAUGGUUAUGAUUUGUUGUAGGGAAAGAAUACAUGUUAACAUUAGCCAGAGAGAUACACAGUCUGCAAGGGUUCCAAACUUAAAGCCCACAUUGUCCUCCUCCCAUUGAGUGAGGAGACAUUACCCUCCUAGCAUUGAUGUGUGAUAUAUACGGGGUAUUGCCAACCAGGAAAACUCACCUAAGCUUUGGUGUUCAGAGUUUUUAACCAGGACUGUGCUUAAGACAUGAUUGAUUGACUGCCCACACGAUUUUACUCAGUCUCCAGGUCAACUGAAUGCAUAACACAAAAUCCCCACCCUAACUCACAUGGUUGAUCUUUCUGGAGUGGUCAGAUCCUACCCUGACACAUGUGGCCCUACCCUAAAAUCCAGUCUGACCAGGUCACACCCUAAAAAGAAGACACCUUUUAUCAGAUAUGACCUAGAAUAUCCCCCAGACACUGAGGGGAAAGGCUAGUUCUUUAUUUGGGCAAGGCCAGAUUCUUUAUUUCAUACUUUGUGAUAAGUAUUUUGGUAGUAAACACUAAUUUGGUUAUUACUGUGGCCCUGAGAAAAGUUCCCUUGAUAAUUAAAUUAAUAUUUAGCUAUUCUAGAAUUAUCAUAUUUUAAGAGCAAUUAGCAUUUAAUGCCAUUCCACUAACGCUUUGUUUUUCAACUUUAUUCUUUCUAUGUAGGAAUACUUUCUUGUAAUCAUCGCAUAAAAUAAGCAAGAUAAUUUCUCUGUUGUGCUUCUUCACAAAUUAGAUAAGAUAAUUAAGACAUAAUUGCUUUCUUUUUCCUUAAUAUGGAGCAAAUAAAUAGUUCAAGAAUAUACAACAAGGGCAUAGACUGAGUAAUCUUGCAAACACUUUACCUCCUGGAAAGCAAAGGCAAUGAUCUCCAUUAAAAUUCAGCAAUAAUACUUAGUUAUUAUAGCAAUUACAAAGCCAUAGGUCUUUCCUAUCUCUAAUAUGUUUUAAACCUUU